UACGGAGGAUUCAAGCGUUAUCCGGAUUUAUUGGGUUUAAAGGGUGCGUAGGCGGUCGGAUAAGUUAGAGGUGAAAUCCCGAGGCUCAACUUCGGAAUUGCCUCUGAUACUGUUCGGCUAGAGAGUAGUUGCGGUAGGCGGAAUGUAUGGUGUAGCGGUGAAAUGCUUAGAUAUAACUUAGAACUCCGAUAGCGAAGGCAGCUUACCAGACUGCGACUGACGCUGAAGCACGAGAGCGUGGGUAGCGAACAGG
rnacentral:rRNA from 1 species